rnacentral:lncRNA from 1 species
UUUGGGAUGGAGAGAUGAGACUGUGGAUGAUCUUCCUCAAUUUGAUGGAGAGUAUUUUGGAGAAGAGCUUUAUGAUAGCAUGCUCACGCUACAAUUUCUACCAAAAAAAAAAAAAGAAUUUCUAGGAUAGAUAUUUCUCAACUAGACCCUAUCAACCUAUCCGAAGGAGUACCAAAUAAAUGAAUAAGGUGAUGGUAGAAAAUGGCAUUUCUUU